rnacentral:lncRNA from 10 species
CUCACCUACUGCCCUGUGAAGAGGUGCCUUCUGCCAUUAUUGUAAGUUUCCUGAGGCCUCCCCAGCCAUGUGGAACUGUUAACUGGAUCAUGGAGGAUGAGUCACCUGUCAGAAAUACGUGGAGAAAAGGAAAUUUUGCCUGCAAAGCUCUGAUUGUAUCAUGAGCACACUGUCUGAAGAUGAGAGAGACCAGGCUGUUUAUUGCUUUUGGGAGGCAUCAGAGUCCAAUCGGCAUGUGAGUCACUUUUCAGAGGCUGGAUCAACGGGCAGCCCCCUGGCUGCAGGAGCUGAGCCUGCCUCACCUCCCAAGAGUGCUGUUGGGCUGUGAGCUGGCGGUUAAGUUACUGCCUUGACCUCCAAAGUCCCAGCUGCUUAAGAAGCCUUCAUCACAUCAAAUAGUGCUGCAUCCCCUCAAGGUGGUAAAUGAGGUGGCUGGUGGGGUGGCCAGGCUCAGCAUUUGUGUCGCAGCUGCAAAUGACGCUGGCCAGGGGACAAUGAAUGAGGUGACGAUACAGAUGGAGGGAUGAAGGGGUCCAUCUGGCUGUGGUCCCCCUCCUACCCCCACUCCCCUUCAUUCUUAAGAAUCAGGAAGUGGGCAACAGUGGGUGAUUCAUUUUGGUGAGUGGAGUAUCAGCUGGUGGCCACAUUAUAGUUGGCUAAAAUUCAGGAUAUUAAAACAAUAAAAUACAAUAAACACGCCGGUGCGGUGGCUCAUGCCUGUAAUCCCAGCACUUUGGGAGGCCAAGGAGGGUGGAUCACUUGGUCAGGAGGUCCAGACCAGCCUGGCCAAUGUGGUGAAACCAUGUCUCAACUAAAAAUAAAAAAAUUAGCUGGGCACGGUAGCAGCCCCCUGUAAUCCCAGCUACUCGGGAGGCUGAGGCAGGAGAAUCACUUGAACCCGGAGCGGGUGGAGGUUGCAGUGAGCUGAGAUCGUGCCAUUGUACUCCAGCCUGGGCAACAGAGUGAGACUCGGCCUCAGAAACAAAAAUAAAAAACAAUAAACACUAAAACGAAAUGGGAUGCAGCCGGGGCUGCUUGUGG